rnacentral:rRNA from 1 species
UAGGGAAUCUUCGGCAAUGGACGGAAGUCUGACCGAGCAACGCCGCGUGAGUGAAGAAGGUUUUCGGAUCGUAAAGCUCUGUUGUAAGAGAAGAACGAGUGUGAGAGUGGAAAGUUCACACUGUGACGGUAUCUUACCAGAAAGGGACGGCUAACUACGUGCCAGCAGCCGCGGUAAUACGUAGGUCCCGAGCGUUAUCCGGAUUUAUUGGGCGUAAAGCGAGCGCAGGCGGUUAGAUAAGUCUGAAGUUAAAGGCUGUGGCUUAACCAUAGUACGCUUUGGAAACUGUUUAACUUGAGUGCAGAAGGGGAGAGUGGAAUUCCAUGUGUAGCGGUGAAAUGCGUAGAUACAUGGAGGAACACCGGUGGCGAAAGCGGCUCUCUGGUCUGUAACUGACGCUGAGGCUCGAAAGCGUGGGGAGCAAACAGGAUUAGAUACCCUGGUAGUCCACGCCGUAAACGAUGAGUGCUAGGUGUUGGGUCCUUUCCGGGACUCAGUGCCGCAGCUAACGCAUUAAGCACUCCGCCUGGGGAGUACGACCGCAAGGUUG